CCUACGGGUGGCUGCAGUGGGGAAUAUUGGACAAUGGGCGAAAGCCUGAUCCAGCCAUGCCGCGUGUGUGAAGAAGGCCUUCGGGUUGUAAAGCACUUUCAGUGGGGAAGAAAGCCUUGGGGCUAAUACCCUCGAGGAAGGACAUCACCCACAGAAGAAGCACCGGCUAACUCCGUGCCAGCAGCCGCGGUAAUACGGAGGGUGCGAGCGUUAAUCGGAAUUACUGGGCGUAAAGCGCGCGUAGGCGGUCUGAUAAGCCGGUUGUGAAAGCCCCGGGCUCAACCUGGGAACGGCAUCCGGAACUGUCAGGCUAGAGGGCAGGAGAGGGAGGUAGAAUUCCCGGUGUAGCGGUGAAAUGCGUAGAGAUCGGGAGGAAUACCAGUGGCGAAGGCGGCCUUCUGGACUGACACUGACGCUGAGGUGCGAAAGCGUGGGUAGCAAACAGGAUUAGAUACCCCUGUAGUC
rnacentral:rRNA from 1 species